GGGGCUCAGAUUGACGGGGGCCGCACAAGCGGUGGAGCAUGUGGUUUAAUUCGAAGCAACGCGAAGAACCUUACCAGGUCUUGACAUCCCGCUGACCGCCUUAGAGAUAAGGCUUUCCCUUCGGGGACAGCGGUGACAGGUGGUGCAUGGUUGUCGUCAGCUCGUGUCGUGAGAUGUUGGGUUAAGUCCCGCAACGAGCGCAACCCUUGAUCUUAGUUGCCAGCAUUCAGUUGGGCACUCUAAGGUGACUGCCGGUGACAAACCGGAGGAAGGUGGGGAUGACGUCAAAUCAUCAUGCCCCUUAUGACCUGGGCUACACACGUGCUACAAUGGACGGUACAAAGGGCAGCCAACCCGCGAGGGGGAGCCAAUCCCAGAAAACCGUUCUCAGUUCGGAUUGCAGGCUGCAACUCGCCUGCAUGAAGCCGGAAUCGCUAGUAAUCGUGGAUCAGCAUGCCACGGUGAAUACGUUCCCGGGCCUUGUACUCCCGCGCCCCGUCA
rnacentral:rRNA from 1 species